GGUUCGAUCAUGGCUCAGAUUGAACGCUGGCGGGAUGCUUUACACAUGUAAGUCGAACGGCGUACGGACUUCGGUCUGGUGGCGAGUGGCGAACGGGUGAGUAAUGUAUCGGAACGUGCCUAGUAGCGGGGGAUAACUACGCGAAAAGGGUAGCUAAUACCGCAUACGCCCUUCGGGGGAAAGCGGGGACCUUCGGGCCUCGCACCAGGAGCGGCCGAUAUCGGAUUAGCUAGUUAUGGGGUAACGGCUCACCAUAGCGACGAUCCAGCUGGUUUGAGAGGACGACCAGCCACUGGGACUGGAGACACGGCCCAGACUCCUACGGGAGGCAGCAGUGGGGAAUUUUGGACAAUGGGGGAAACCCCGAUCCAGCCAUCCCGCGUGUGCGAUGAAGGCCUUCGGGUUGUAAAGCACUUUGGCAGGAAAAAGAAACGGCACGGGAUAAUACCCCGUGCAACUGACGGUACCUGCAGAAUAAGCACCGGCUAACUACGUGCCAGCAGCCGCGGUAAUACGUAGGGUGCAAGCGUUAAUCGGAAUUACUGGGCGUAAAGCGUGCGCAGGCGGUUCGGAAAGAAAGAUGUGAACCCCAGAGCUUAACUUUGGAACUGCAUUUUUAACUACCGAGCUAGAGUGUGUCAGAGGGGAGGUGGAAUUCCGUGUAGCAGUGAAAUGCAGAUAUGCGGAGGAACACCGAUGGCGAAGGCAGCCUGGGGAUAACACUGACGCUCAUGCACGAAAGCGUGGGGAUAAACAGGAUUAGAUAAUUCUGGUAGUCCACGCCUCUAAACGAUGUCAACUAGCUGCUGGGGCCUUCGGGCCUUGCAGCGCAGCUAACGCGGUGAAGUUGACCGCCUGGGGAGUACGGUCGCAAGAUUGGAAACUCAAAGGAAUUGACGGGGACCCGCACAAGCGGUGGAUGAUGUGGAUUAAUUCGGAUGCAACGCGAAAACCUUACCUACCCUUGACAUGUCUGGAAUCCCGAAGAGAUUUGGAGUGUUUGCAAGAGAACCGAACACAGGUGCUGCAUGGCUGUCGUCAGCUCGUGUCGUGAGAUGUUGGGUUAAGUCCCGCAACGAGCGCAACCCUUGUCAUUAGUUGGUUACGAAAGGGCACUCCCAUCGAGACUGCCGGUGACAAACCGGAGGAAGGUGGGGAUGACGUCAAGUCCUCAUGGCCCUUAUGGGUAGGGCUUCACACGUCAUACAAUGGUCGGGACAGAGGGUCGCCAACCCGCGAGGGGGAGCCAAUCCCAGAACCCUGAUCGUAGUCGUCCGGAUCGCAGUCUGCAACUCGACUGCGUGAAGUCGGAAUCGCUAGUAAUCGCGGAUCAGCAUGUCGCGAAUACGUCCCUGGCCUGUACACACCGCCCGUCACACCAUGGGAGUGGGUUUUACCAGAAGUAGUUAGCCUAACCGUAAGGAGGGCGAUUACCACGGUAGGAUUCAUGAUUGGGGUGAAGUCGUAACAAGGUAA
rnacentral:rRNA from 1 species